CCUCUGGAUGUUUUGGACUACAACUCCCAUCAGCCCCAGCGAUGGGAAUGCUGGGGGCUGAUGGGAGUUGUAGUCCAAAACAUCCAGAGG